UGGGCAGGGCUGGUUCCUCGGGGAGAGGCGGGGUGCUCGUCUCCCAGGUCCAGAGGGCUGCUGGCGCCCCUCGGCCGGCCCUGAUCCAGGAUGGCCUCAUCUGGAGACCCUUCCCUUUGUGACACCGGCCUAGGCCAGGCGGGUACAUCUCUUGUGGGGCCACCAGUGAAGCCACUACAACCUCCCACACAGACUCUGAUGAAUGUAGGUAUUAGUUGGGAUAUUUGUCUAUUUCAGUAGGUGAUAGACACACACCAGCAAAGAAUCCGGAAGUCCAGCAAGUCCCUCAGCAAGGUUUAUUCACGUACGGUAAACGGCGCAUGUAAAAAUAUACGAUUGAAUGAGCUGAGAUGCGUAGACACCCCGGGACCCUUCGCCACGUUCAGGACAGUGAACAUCUCCAUCAGCCAAA